rnacentral:rRNA from 1 species
AGAGUUUGAUCCUGGCUCAGGACGAACGCUGGCGGCGUGCCUAACACAUGCAAGUCGAGCGGAGACAGUGAGUAGCUUGCUACGAACUGUUUUAGCGGCGGACGGGUGAGUAACGCGUGAGCAACCUUUCCCAGACAGGGGAAUAACACACCGAAAGGUGUACUAAUACCUCAUAAGACCACGGGAUCACAUGGUUCUGAGGUAAAAGAAUUAUCGGUUUGGGGUGGGCUCGCGUCCGAUUAGGUAGUUGGUGAGGUAACGGCCCACCAAGCCGACGAUCGGUAGCCGACCUGGGAGGGUGAUCGGCCACAUUGGGACUGAGACACGGCCCAAACUCCUACGGGAGGCAGCAGUGGGAAUAUUGGGCAAUGGAGGAAACUCUGACCCAGCAACGCCGCGUGGAGGAAGAAGGUUUUCGGAUCGUAAACUCCUGUCCUUGGAGACGAGUAGAAGACGGUAUCCAAGGAGGAAGCCCCGGCUAACUACGUGCCAGCAGCCGCGGUAAUACGUAGGGGGCAAGCGUUGUCCGGAAUAAUUGGGCGUAAAGGGCGCGUAGGCGGCUCGGUAAGUCUGGAGUGAAAGUCCUGCUUUUAAGGUGGGAAUUGCUUUGGAUACUGUCGGGCUUGAGUGCAGGAGAGGUUAGUGGAAUUCCCAGUGUAGCGGUGAAAUGCGUAGAGAUUGGGAGGAACACCAGUGGCGAAGGCGACUAACUGGACUGUAACUGACGCUGAGGCGCGAAAGUGUGGGGAGCAAACAGGAUUAGAUACCCUGGUAGUCCACACUGUAAACGAUGAAUGCUAGGUGUAGGGGGUAUCGACCCCUUCUGUGCCGCAGUCAACACAAUAAGCAUUCCGCCUGGGGAGUACGGCCGCAAGGUUGAAACUCAAAGGAAUUGACGGGGGCCCGCACAAGCAGCGGAGCAUGUGGUUUAAUUCGACGCAACGCGAAGAACCUUACCAGGUCUUGACAUCCACUUAAACUUACAGAGAUGUAAGGUGUGCUUGCACAAAGUGAGACAGGUGGUGCAUGGUUGUCGUCAGCUCGUGUCGUGAGAUGUUGGGUUAAGUCCCGCAACGAGCGCAACCCUUAUCUUCAGUUACUAACGCGUAAAGGUGAGGACUCUGAAGAGACUGCCGGGGACAACUCGGAGGAAGGUGGGGACGACGUCAAAUCAUCAUGCCCCUUAUGACCUGGGCUACACACGUGCUACAAUGGCCACGACAGAGAGAAGCGAAAUCGCAAGGUAGAGCGGAACUCAAAAAAGUGGUCCCAGUUCGGAUUGUGGGCUGCAACCCGCCCACAUGAAGUCGGAGUUGCUAGUAAUCGCGGAUCAGCAUGCCGCGGUGAAUACGUUCCCGGGCCUUGUACACACCGCCCGUCACACCAUGGGAGUUGGGAGUGCCCAAAGCCGAUGAGGCAACCGCAAGGAGCCAGCCGUCUAAGGCAAGACCAAUGACUGGGGUGAAGUCGCAACAAGGUA